CUGGCCAAAGCACAUGAUCACAAACCGCUAAAUACUGGGCAAAGAACAAAACCCCGAGCAUGGGAGAGGCUGAAAGCACACUGAAAAACACUUCGACUUAAAGAUGAGUGGAAGAAGCUGAUGUGGAAGCCAGGGAUACUAAUGGCGGGUGUUAUUUUCCAGAAAGGUCCUGAGUAAGAGGCCAUUGUUCUGUGGUAUUGCUCUGCUUCCCAGGCUGGAGUACAAUGGCAUAAUCACGGUUCACUGCAGCCUCAACUUCCCUGGGCUCAGCUAAUUCUCCCACCUCAGCUCCUUUGACUCCACUGCUGGAACUACAGAUGGUGUCUGGAGCAACUCCCCCAACCUGCUAGUCAUGGCUAAAUGCUCUCCACAAUAUACACUUAAUAGAUGGUAAUCAAUCAUGUAUGUAAGGCUAAAUAUUAAAAAAUAAUAAUAAAUUUCAGUAACUUAAAACUAAACAAAUCCUCAUUUCACACCUUGUAUCAAGAUGGCUAUUUUUCACCAGGUGUGGAGGCUCACACCUGUAAUCCCAGUCCUUUGGGAGGCCAAGGUAGGCAGAUCGCUUGAGGUCAGGAGUCUGAGACCAGACUGGCCAAUACAGUGAAACCCUGUCUCUACUAAAAAU